rnacentral:rRNA from 1 species
CCAGAGAACUUAGCAGAGAUGCUUUGGUGCCUUCGGGAACUCUGAGACAGGUGCUGCAUGGCUGUCGUCAGCUCGUGUUGUGAAAUGUUGGGUUAAGUCCCGCAACGAGCGCAACCCUUAUCCUUUGUUGCCAGCGGUCCGGCCGGGAACUCAAAGGAGACUGCCAGUGAUAAACUGGAGGAAGGUGGGGAUGACGUCAAGUCAUCAUGGCCCUUACGAGUAGGGCUACACACGUGCUACAAUGGCGCAUACAAAGAGAAGCGACCUCGCGAGAGCAAGCGGACCUCAUAAAGUGCGUCGUAGUCCGGAUUGGAGUCUGCAACUCGACUCCAUGAAGUCGGAAUCGCUAGUAAUCGUAGAUCAGAAUGCUACGGUGAAUACGUUCCCGGGCCUUGUACACACCGCCCGUCACACCAUGGGAGUGGGUUGCAAAAGAAGUAGGUAGCUUAACCUUCGGGAGGGCGCUUACCACUUUGUGAUUCAUGACUGGGGUGAAGUCGUAACAAGGUAAGCGUACGUGU